rnacentral:rRNA from 1 species
AACGCGAAGAACCUUACCUACCCUUGACAUCCAACGAAUCCUGCAGAGAUGUGGGAGUGCCGAAAGGAACGUUGAGACAGGUGCUGCAUGGCUGUCGUCAGCUCGUGUUGUGAGAUGUUGGGUUAAGUCCCGUAACGAGCGCAACCCUUAUCUUUAGUUGCCAACACGUAAUGGUGGGGACUCUAAAGAGACUGCCGGUGAUGAACCGGAGGAAGGCGGGGACGACGUCAAGUCAUCAUGGCCUUUAUGGGUAGGGCUACACACGUGCUACAAUGGGCAGUACAGAGGGCGGCCAACCCGCGAGGGGGAGCCAAUCCCGAAAAGCUGUUCGUAGUCCGGAUCGGAGUCUGCAACUCGACUCCGUGAAGUCGGAAUCGCUAGUAAUCGCGAAUCAGAAUGUCGCGGUGAAUACGUUCCCGGGCCUUGUACACACCGACGCAC